UGGGGAAUAUUGGACAAUGGGCGCAAGCCUGAUCCAGCCAUACCGCGUGGGUGAAGAAGGCCUUCGGGUUGUAAAGCCCUUUUGUUGGGAAAGAAAUCCAGCCGGCUAAUACCUGGUUGGGAUGACGGUACCCAAAGAAUAAGCACCGGCUAACUUCGUGCCAGCAGCCGCGGUAAUACGAAGGGUGCAAGCGUUACUCGGAAUUACUGGGCGUAAAGCGUGCGUAGGUGGUCGUUUAAGUCCGUUGUGAAAGCCCUGGGCUCAACCUGGGAACUGCAGUGGAUACUGGGCGACUAGAGUGUGGUAGAGGGUAGCGGAAUUCCUGGUGUAGCAGUGAAAUGCGUAGAGAUCAGGAGGAACAUCCAUGGCGAAGGCAGCUACCUGGACCAACACUGACACUGAGGCACGAAAGCGUGGGGAGCAAACAGGAUUAGAUACCC
rnacentral:rRNA from 1 species